rnacentral:tRNA from 1 species
AGUAGAGUCAGCUAAACAAGCUCUUGGGCCCAUACCCCAAACAUGUAGGUUAAACCCCCACCUCUACUA